UUUCGCAAUGCCCGAAAGGGUGACGAAGCGACGUCGCGUGGGUGAUGAAGGCCCUUGGGUCGUAAAGCCCUGUCAAGAGUUAUGAAAGCAGCUUGCUGCUUGACAAAGGCUCUAAAGGAAGUCACGGCUAACUCUGUGCCAGCAGCCGCGGUAAUACAGAGGUGGCAAGCGUUGUUCGGAAUUAUUGGGCGUAAAGAGCACGUAGGUGGUCAGAUAAGUCAGAUGUAAAAUACCUUUGCUUAACAAAGGACCUGCAUUUGAAACUGUCCGACUAGAGUACAGAAGGGGAGAAUGGAAUUUCUGAUGGAGCGGUGAAGUGUGUAGAUAUCAGAAGGAACGCCGGCGGCGAAAGCGAUUCUCUGGCCUAUUACUGACACUCAGUGUGCGAAAGCUAGGGGAGCAAACGGGAUUAGAUACCCCGGUAGUCCUAGCCGUAAACGAUGGGCACUAAGUAGAGGGGUUUU
rnacentral:rRNA from 1 species